UUUAAUUAAUGUUUUAGGUAAAUAUAUUUUUUUUUCUUUUUCAGCAAGUAUUUCUGUAUACUUCCUUGCUAAUAAAAAAAAACAACAAACUCCUGGAAUGAUUUCAAGAGAGAAUCGAUUUGUGUAAAACAAAUUACAAGCAAGAAUAUGACAAAAUAAAAAAAAAAUUACAAGCAAGACGUAAGCUGCAGCUUUUGGAACAAAAAAAUAGUCUAUUAUAUAUAUAAUGCUGAAACAAGGACUUAGGUGAGCCAAAAAAAUAGUGUGAAAUUACAAUUUUGCCCAUCACUUACUGAGCUGAAGUUACUUCUUUAUCCCUCUUGUACUAUGGGCUCUGUCUUUACAGUACCCCAGUAAUUUUUGCACCCCUUCAUUAUAUUUGUGCAUGAACAGCUGCUGAGUCAUGUACUCAUGUGUGAUUUUUGUAUGCAUCAAAAGUACAGACCGGAGUACCACCGUCGAAUUCUCUCUUCGUUUUCCCUCGUAUCUGUGACACUCCAUCUUUUAUUUUCGCUCCCCCAGAUCUAUUUGCAACCCCUGUUGCACAUUAGUAUUCUCCAUUUAAAUUAUAAUUUAUUUGUUGAUUUGAAGGUGUUUGUUUGUUGGAUUCAAGGGUCUUGUUUUGGUUAUAGAUAUUUUUGGUGCUACACAGAAGAUUGGAUUAGAGAGAUUCUGAACAGUUUAUUCAAGAGGGUGAGCGGCUUGUGUUGAAGUUAUUUCUAUCUUCGAUUCUCCGUAAGUAUGCAUUCUCCUUUUAUGAUGUAUUGUUAAAGUGUUAUUUACAUUUGUAGGUCUGAAGAAUCUAAUACUGAUUGAGUGAAAGGAAAUUGAAAAGCUUCCUUUUACUAUAUGUUGGCCUAUCGUAUGAUCCGUAAGUUUGAACAAUUUGCUAUUACACUGAUGCUUUCUAUAUUGGUGAACUAUGUUCAAUAGUUUGGUAUGGUAAAGAAAUUUAGUUAUGAUUAGAUGGUGUUUGAUUAAUGCAUAUGAAUAGAAUUUGAGUUUAAUUAGACCUCGUAUUACCACCCUGGAGCAUAUAUAUUCACCAGAUCGAUGAACAGUCGAACCGAACUCGACUAUUCUUUCGGGAACUGGGACGUGAGGAGCAUUUUGAGUAAUAAUUGUUUUUUUAUCUCUCACCCAGGAGAUGAGAAAAGUUGAGAUCAGAAAAGCUUAUAAACCGGAAAAAUACCAGUAGCAAGAAUUUAUUAACUAUGAGUCUAUGACAAACUAAUUGAUUUAUUUUUAAAAAAAUAAUUAGGUGCAGGGGUGGAGGGAUAGAGAACCUAGAGGGUUCUCUCGAGUACUCUGAGUUCAGAAUUUCUUUUAUAUGUUUUAUACAUUGUAGCAAACAAAAUAGUUGGUACAAGUAAAGAAAGUGGGUGUUACUUAGUGUGUGACCAGCCCAAUUUUUUUUAAUAGUCUAUAAACCUUAACUCAUUAGCCAUUCUGAACUUCUGUUAACAUAUAUUUACAUAUUAUUACUGGAGUUUAUGGUCGUCUUCUCUACACCCUGGUUAUGUCUAAUAUUAAUUCUUGUGUAAAUAGUCUCUAGAAUAGCAUAGCAAUUAGCAACCUGUGAACUAUGCAGGAUAGCUGAUUGUAUGUUAAUAAAAAAAAUUAUUGCUUAUUUUAGUGUUGCUCUUAUUUAUUUCUAGCUCCACCACUGAUUAGGUGGUUCUAUCAUGCAAGUUCGACGUGUGGAAAAGAUUGGUAAAUGUUCCUAAUACAGCAAUUUUCCGAGCAAAUUAUUUUCUCCCUUUACAUGCCCUAAAGCAUCUCUAAUUCUUGCAGCACUUAACAUUUCUGUAUGCUUUGAAUUUUGAUGGUCGUCAGAAUAAAAAUCUCAACAGAAACCGCCUAUGCCUUUGGUAUAAAUUUUUUAAAACAGAUUGCACGAAACGAAAAUAUUUAUGCAACUCAAAUCGAUCAUUGUUGGUUUUUAAGGAUGAUUGGCAUUUACAAACACAUAUGAACAUAUAUUUUGCAGAUGAGUAUAUGUCAUAUGUUGUUAGAGGACAAAGUGAAUACAUAUUGAUUGUGUAUAAGUCUUUGCUUGAGAGCAUAUUGUUAAAAUAAUUUUAAAGAAUAAAGAUACAUGCAUUGCUUGUUUUGAAGAUGAUUUCAAAAGUUGAGUUAUCCCGCUAUUAUCAUACAGACUAUAAAAAUUAGUGAGAAGGUAUAUUAACUAGCCUAAUGACUCCCCACUUCUAUUACGUAAACAUGUAUCGUUUAUUAACUGUCAAGUCCGUUCGCACUAGGCCUCGAGCAUCCAAGAUAAGCAGAGUGUUGUCUAUAUAUGCUUAAUAUUUUUUUAUGAAACUUAGCUGAAUUUAUUUACACAGACCUUGGCAUAUUAAUUAUCAAAUACAAUUAUGUUGUUGGUUCAUUAACCAUACUAGUGACUCCCGCUUAUAUUACAUGUAUGUGUAUCAUUCAUUGACUGCGUAAAUCGGUCCAUAUGAGGCCUGAAGCAUCCAACAUAAGCAGAGUCUUGUCUCAUAUAUUCUCAAUAUUUCAUGAAAUUUUGCUGAAUUUAAUCAAGCAGGCAUUGCCAUAUUGGUUACCAAAUGCAAUCACGUUGAUCGCCGUGCUGCAACAUAUUUAAAGCGAGUGUCUCUAGAGAUUCAUCUGUUGAGGUUAGUGAGGAGAAUAUGAAUUCGGCUCAAGAGGUCAAAGAGAAGGCUAUGGGAGCGAUAUCCGAAGGUCCUUGUGGAUUUGAGAGAAAAGCUUUCCACCGCUCUUUCACAAUGAUUCCUCAAUUAAUAUCAAUUUGUUAUGAUUAGAUCAUGAUAGAAGAAGUUCCUGCUGACACGCAACCAAAAGAGAAAACAAGUUUUUAAGCUCUGUUCCACAAUCCUGGAUUGGGUAAUUGAUAAAAUUUAUUGAACUUCAUCAUAUUAUAUGAACUGAAUGCUUGUGUAGUGUACAAUCUUAUUUUUUGCUUUAUUGGAACUUUGUAUACAUAAAUAAUCAAACUUUGUGUAUAUAGAUUUGGAUGAAAUAAAUGUUAUAGCCAUGUAUAGCAACAACUAAAUGGGAACACAAGUUUUAAAAUACAAAAAAUGCACAAAAACUACGUCAUGACAUGCUUGUUCACAGACCCUGUACGACGUUUACAGCCCUGAUUUUCACCACCCCCAACACCUACCAGAUUACUUCCCUUUUAAGUGCCGGUAGUUGUAGAAUAACACUAAUAAUGUAUUCAGUGUCUGGCUUCAAUGAGCUAUAUCAUAUAUGUUUUGAUGGUGGUAAGAACAAGAACUAAUAAUAUAGUUCUGGAAAUCAUACUGAAGACCUCUCAGCUUCAUUUUUCUAGGUAGGAACACCAAAUUGAAUGAGUUAAUAAGAUCAGUAUGGAGGACAGACAUGCAGUUGCUGAAGCUCAGUUUCAAACUAUAUUUAUAUGAAGAUUUAGUCAUGAAAGUCAUUAAAUCUCAGCCUGAGGUUUCACGGAGUUUUCUGUUUUGUUGAGGAAUUAGUAAGAAUCCGGUUACUUGUUAGAAAAAGCUAAACUUGAAUUUUCUUCAGUUUCCUUUGACCACCUUUCUUUAACAUGUGCCAAUGGGUAAAAAAAAAAAAAAAAAACAGAUUUGAAGUAGAACCCCUAGAAAUCAUAGGCCCAUCAGUCUCAAUUCCUGAUAUCUAAUACAUUAUGUAGAUUUUGGCAUUUGCAAAUCCUUUCUUAAUUCUAAUUUAGUGAUGCAGGAUUUAACUUUCUAUAGUAACAAGCUUAAAUUAUAUCAUCAUAAUUCAAAGUAUACAAGUUAAUCUGCAACGGAGAUAUACAAUGUACUGAUCAGUCAAAGAAUAAGAUACAUGUAAAUGAACUAAUGACCGAAAAACAAUCAAAGAAUUUCUAUAUAUAAAAAAAAAGAAUCAGAAGAGAAUGCACACAGUUUCCGGGAGGCUGAACCGUGCCCUUUUAAACAGCUUGUAAAUGUAAGUUAUCAAAAAUAAACUUUGUAUUUUUUUCGCGAAAUUUUCAACUUCGUCCGAAAGUCUGCAAGGUUCAUGAGAUUCCACUAGCCAAAAAAAUGAUGACAGAUAUCGUUACAAUCGACAGAAGGUUAAUGCUUAAACGUGCCAUGCUUAAACUUGAUAAAUAUGUAUAGUUAGCAAGGAAAAAUUGUUGGUACGACCACAAAAUUGAUAUAGUUGUAAGUCAUGUGGAUC